AUUGAACGCUGGCGGCAGGCUUAACACAUGCAAGUCGAGCGGGGUGAUGGUGCUUGCACUAUCACUUAGCGGCGGACGGGUGAGUAAUGCUUAGGAAUCUGCCUAUUAGUGGGGGACAACAUCUCGAAAGGGAUGCUAAUACCGCAUACGUCCUACGGGAGAAAGCAGGGGAUCACUUGUGACCUUGCGCUAAUAGAUGAGCCUAAGUCGGAUUAGCUAGUUGGUGGGGGAAAGGCCUACCAAGGCGACGAUCUGUAGCGGGUCUGAGAGGAUGAUCCGCAACACUGGGACGGAGACACGGCCCAGACUCCUACGGGAGGCAGCAGUGGGGAAUAUUGGACAAUGGGGGGAACCCUGAUCCAGCCAUGCCGCGUGUGUGAAGAAGGCCUUAUGGUUGUAAAGCACUUUAAGCGAGGAGGAGGCUCUUUUGGUUAAUACCCAAGAUGAGUGGACGUUACUCGCAGAAUAAGCACCGGCUAACUCUGUGCCAGCAGCCGCCGUAA
rnacentral:rRNA from 1 species